rnacentral:rRNA from 1 species
GACGUAGGGCGCGAGCGUUGUCCGGAUUUAUUGGGCGUAAAGAGCUCGUAGGCGGCUCGUUGCGUCGGCUGUGAAAAACCCGCAGCUCAACUGUGGGCUUGCAGCUGAUACGGGCGGGCUGGGAUUCGGUAGGGGAGACUGGAAUUCCUGGUGUAGCGGUGAAAUGCGCAGAUAUCAGGAGGAACACCGGUGGCGAAGGCGGGUCUCUGGGCCGAUACUGACGCUGAGGAGCGAAAGCGUGGGGAGCGAACAGG